rnacentral:rRNA from 1 species
AUUGAACGCUGGCGGAAUGCUUUACACAUGCAAGUCGAACGGUAGAGGGGGCAACCCCUCGAGAGUGGCGAACGGGUGAGUAAUAUAUCGGAACGUGCCCAGUCGUGGGGGAUAACGUAGCGAAAGUUACGCUAAUACCGCAUACGAUCUAAGGAUGAAAGCGGGGGAUCGCAAGACCUCGCGCGAUUGGAGCGGCCGAUAUCAGAUUAGGUAGUUGGUGGGGUAAAGGCUCACCAAGCCAACGAUCUGUAGCUGGUCUGAGAGGACGACCAGCCACACUGGAACUGAGACACGGUCCAGACUCCUACGGGAGGCAGCAGUGGGGAAUUUUGGACAAUGGACGCAAGUCUGAUCCAGCCAUUCCGCGUGCAGGAUGAAGGCCCUCGGGUUGUAAACUGCUUUUGUACGGAACAAAAAGGUCUCUCUUAAUACGGGGGACUCAUGACGGUACCGUAAGAAUAAGCACCGGCUAACUACGUGCCAGCAGCCGCAGUAACAC